rnacentral:rRNA from 1 species
UGGGGAAUAUUGGGCAAUGGAGGCAACUCUGACCCAGCAACGCCGCGUGAAGGAUGAAGGUUUUCGGAUUGUAAACUUCUGUCGCAGGGGACGAAGAAUGACGGUACCCUGUAAGAAAGCCACGGCAAACUACGUGCCAGCAGCCGCGGUAAUACGUAGGUGGCAAGCGUUGUCCGGAAUGACUGGGCGUAAAGGGAGCGUAGGCGGUUGGUUAAGUUAUAUGUGAAAGCCCCGGGCUUAACUCGGGAACUGCAUAUGAUACUGGCUGACUGGAGUGUGGGAGAGGCAAGUGGAAUUCCUAGUGUAGCGGUGGAAUGCGUAGAUAUUAGGAGGAACACCAGUGGCGAAGGCGGCUUGCUGGACCAUAACUGACGCUGAGGCUCGAAAGCGUGGGGAGCAAACA